AAGGCUUAAAUAUUAAUAAAAGACGAGAAGACCCUAUAGAUCUUUAUUUAAUUAAUAUUUUAAUAAUUUAGGAUUAUUUUAAUUUAAAAUUUUAAUUAAAUUUUAUUGGGGUAAUAUAAAGAUUUGAUUAAUUCUUUUUAUUAAUUACAUUAAUUUAUGAAUAAAUGAUCCAAUAUUAUUGAUUAUAAGAUUAAGUUACCUUAGGGAUAACAGCGUAAUUUUUUUGGAGAGCUCAUAUCGAUAAAAAAGU
rnacentral:rRNA from 1 species